UAGGAUUAGAUACCCUGGUAGUCCACGCCGUAAACGAUGUCGACUUGGAGGUUGUGCCCUUGAGGCGUGGCUUCCGGAGCUAACGCGUUAAGUCGACCGCCUGGGGAGUACGGCCGCAAGGUUAAAACUCAAAUGAAUUGACGGGGGCCCGCACAAGCGGUGGAGCAUGUGGUUUAAUUCGAUGCAACGCGAAGAACCUUACCUGGUCUUGACAUCCACGGAAGUUUUCAGAGAUGAGAAGGUGCCUUCGGGAACUGUGAGACAGGUGCUGCAUGGCUGUCGUCAGCUCGUG
rnacentral:rRNA from 1 species